UGCCCGACUAUAAACCUAGAUUGAUUCCACUAUAAACACAAUCCGCCAGAGGACUACCCGCAAAAGCCAAAAACUCCAAGGACUUGACGGUGCCCUAACACCCUAGAGGAGCCUGUCCCAUAAUCGAUACUCCACGCUAAACCUUACCCCCCCCUUGCCCCUACAGCCUAUAUACCGCCGCCGUAAGGCCCACCUUUUGAAAGCACUAACGUGGACAAAAUAUGUCUCUCCAUAGUACGUCAGGUCAAGGUGUAGCUAAUGAGGGGGAGACGCGAUGGGCUACAAUCUCUUAUACCGAGCCCUGUAAAAGACAUGAAAUAAUCUUCCAACGACGGAUUUAGUAGUAAAUUCAACAAGUACUGUUAAAUUGAAAUGUGCCCUGGGAU
rnacentral:rRNA from 1 species